ensembl:lincRNA uncharacterized LOC110331042
CCUAGCUCUCACCAUUGCUCCAUUUGUUGCCCGUGCCCACCGAGAGCGCACAUCAGUUGUCAAAAGACCCAGAAAACAACAGUAUUCCUAGAUCUGGAACUUACACACCGUUUUGUACGCUGGGAAAAUAAUACGCGGCUCCCCCAUAUUGCAAUGGGAGUUAUGGGUGCUGAAGAUUAGGACUCAGGUCCUCCUGCUUGUGCACUGAGUCCUUUAUCCACAAAGCCAUCUCUCCCAGCUGGACUUCACCCAUUUCUGAGGUGGAGCUCCUACUCCAUGGGGAAUUCAGGAUCUCUUCUCUGCAUUACUUGGUAUCAGUAGUCAAAGUGCGAGUGACUUUCUUAAAGAUGCCCAUUUUGAUGAUCUGGCACGUUUCUCUGAUUUUGCUAUGUGUGAGAAAUAUUUACCCCAUCAUGUCUUAUCUGUGUUUCAUGUGUUUUACUAAACAAGUUUUGACAUGGCUUGGCUUGGCAUCUUUUGCCAUUUAAAGGCUUGGGAUAUUUGUGUGUGGAUUCUUGAAUAACUCUGUCUGACUUACUCCACCUUGUAAAAGGGAGAACCAGCCUGACUGUAACUCCGGAGGCUAGAGCUUACUUAAGAGCAUUGCUAUUCAUUGAAAUCGAUAUCUCAUGGCUUAUUUGGCCGGAUUCCUGAUAGCUAAAAGCCAUCAGUGAGGUUGACGGUGAUAUUGGGGAAUGCCAUUUAUUGAUCUGUUAGGACCUCCACAACACUGAAUAGAUCCAUCCUUUCAUCUCAGUUAACUGGAACAGUUUUAGAAGGUCCUUCAACAAAAGUUGGCAUCUUUCCCAACCACCUAGUGCCUGGGAAUUUAGAAGAAAACAGGACUGUUUGGAGGAUGUGGUCUCCUCCAACGUGCUGAAGACAGCGUGUGUUUUCUUUACUUCCAAAUUGUCAGAUAUUCACCUACAGGAUCCCUAACUUGCUAAUGUGGCUCCUUCCACACCUAAGACCUGCUGAUGCUGCAAUCCCAACAGAGCUGCUCCUUGAAUUGAGGUCAGCACUUCUUAAAUAGUUUCCACUUGCAACCCAUUUUCACCUGGAAUUUGUUUCUGGUGCUGGUGAUCGAACCCCCUUCAUACAUGCAAGUACUCUACCAAUGAGCUACAACCUCAGCCCCUGCCUUAGUAAUUUAUAUAUAGUUUAUAAGACAUAUACACAAAUAAAACAGUUGCUGGGAAGAAAUCAUAAAGAAAUUUACUUUAAAAUAGUUAUUUUUUUAUAGAUAUAUUUGAAAGCCAUAGGGGGUUGAGACAGGGUUUCUCUGUAUAGCCCCAGCUGUCCUGUCUCACUCUGUAGACCAGGCUCAGAGAUCAGAGGUCAGAGGUCAGAGACUCAGACUCAGAGAUCCACCUGCCUCUGCCUCUAGAACAAUGGGAUCAAAGGCGGGUGUAACCAAUGCCCAGAUGACAAUUUUUAAAUAUACUUAUGACAUUUUUAUUGAGUGUACUUGUGUAUAUGUGCAUACACAUGCCACGGAGCACAUAUGGAGAUCAAACAACAACUUGCAGGAAUCACUUCUCUCGUUCUACCAUGUGGAUCCUAAGGAUCAAACUCAGGUCACUGGUCUUGGCAGCAAGCAACCUCUACCUACCGAGUCAUCUCGCAGAUCUGGUGUGCUGACUAAUGUUCUGUCAGUUUGACAUAGGCUAGAGCCAGUGGAGAGUAUGAAAUACCCAUUGAGAAAAUGCCUCCAGAAGACUGGGCUGCAGGUAAGCCUGUAGAGCACUUUCUUAAUUAGUGAAUGAUGGGGAGGAUCGAGCCCACUGACUGAUGUGGAUGGGGUCAUCCCUGGGAUUGUGGUUCUAUGUUCUAUAAACAAGUAGGUAAACAAGCUCUGGGAAGCAAGCCAGAAAACAGCAGCCCUCAUGGCCUCUGUAUCAGUUCCUGCCACCAGGUUCCUGCCCUGUGUGAGUUCUUGUCCUAACUUCCUUUGAUGAUAAAUAGUGAUAUGGAAGUGCAAACCAAAUAAACUCUUUCCUCCCCACUCCCCAAGUUAAUCUGGUCAUGGUGUUGGUGUUUCAUCACAGUAAUAGUAGCUCUAACUAAGAUACCUGGUAUGGAUAUAGUUUCCAUUGGAGAAUAAAUCAACUUUGCAUAUU